rnacentral:tRNA from 1 species
GCCUGGGUGGCUCAGUCGGUUAAGCGUCCGACUUCGGCUCAGGUCAUGAUCUCACAGUCCGUGGGUUCGAGCCCCGCGUCGGGCU